rnacentral:lncRNA from 10 species
GCAUCAUCGCCAGCAUUACUAAGCCAUUUCCCUAGUGUUCCCCUCAGCAUGAAACAUCUGUCUACUUAUUUCUUUGCUGAGCCUGAGUGGAAUAUUCCAUCUCUGAAAAAUAAACUUUGUGUUUAAAUUGUAAUCUUUAUUCCUAUCUGGCAAAUUGGCUCUAUAUCCUCAACAAUUGGAAGGAAUUGAUGUAUCUGCUGCCAUCAGCUACAAAGCAUUGGAUGCCCACAGUGCUAUUGAUUAGAUUUACAUGAAUUCCAGGUGAAUCUGAUCCAGUGGCUACAAAAAGUCUUCCUGAAACCAGCGGGCUUCCUGAGAAACGUGAAGAGAACCAGGUCGCCUGGGAUUUCUUCCUUCCUCAGAAGGUCUCCCCAAGUCAACAUCGUCUCUGAAUUUUCUAUUUCCCUUUGGCAAAUAAAAGAAAAAGGAACUGAGGCUGCCACAGUGUCCAUGCCAGGCUACUCAUCGGACACAGAAUGAAAGACAGCGCAUUACAAAACUUUCAGGUGGAAGAAUCAAAUUUCAUACCAAGAUCUGAUGUCAAGAGCUUUACAGUUCACCAGAGAGGGUAAUGAAACUGAGACUUUGUAAUGACAACAAAGAAGGUAAG